CUUUAACUUUGAUCUACCUUUCAGACUUUCAAAGGCCUUACCGCUUACCAUAGAUAGAUAGAGAUAUAGAAAAAAACGUAGACCGUUUCAUUAUCAUUUUGACAGUUAUCUUUAGAUUUGUUUUUAUUACUGUCAGUCGAAAAGUUGCUAUCUCUGGAAUUCUGGCGAUUAACUUCUCUUGUUUUAGGUUUUAAAGAUAACUUUGAAGUUUAUUUAAAUAAUGGAUUUGUUUAGUGAUGACAGUGAUAAUGAAUUGUAUGAAGCCGGUAUAUUUGAUACUGUGGCAAUUUUAGAUGCUGGUGGAGGAAGUGACAUAAAUUUCACCCCAAAGAAAUUUAUUUUUAACAAAACCAAUAAAGUAAACAAACGAAGGAAGCUGGCUAAAGAUGUUCAGAGAGCUCAAAGGGAUAAGGAUCUGGGGCUAGCAGCUUACUUUGAAACCAAAACUGAAAAUGUAGGGCUUGAUAGUAAAAAAAUAGAACUAGAAAACAGGAAAUUAGAAUUAAAUUGUAAUAAGUUGGAAUUAGAAAAUGCACAAUUAGAAUUAGAAAAUGUCAAAUUAGAAGUAGAAAUAAGGCAAUUACAACAGAAUAUGAACUGUUAACAAUACACUUGUAAUUUUCUUAAA